rnacentral:sRNA from 1 species
AUAAAAACUAAGAUGUCAGACUCGAAGUGUGGGGUAUGACUUUAUCUUUCCCUGGAUCUGCAUGUGGAGAGGACGGAGAGUGGGUGCACACAAGCCAAAUCUGAGCUACUAUCACACUGAAGCACACAAUGGCCACGAAAGGCAUGAGGUUGAAAUCCACAAAAGAGGUGUUCCCUCUGGCACAUGUGUGCAACGACACAAAUAAGAUGACAUUAAUUAACCCCCAAGGAGCCAAACUCAAUAUCUACAAGCGAAAAGUGGAACAGGCAAUUCAAUCCUAUGAAAAGCGCUUGAAUAAAAUUGUUUGGCGAGCAUUAUCUCAAGAGGAAAAAGAAAAGUUAGAUGCAAACAAACCAAUACAGUACUUGGAAAACAAAACAGUUUUAAACCAGGCUUUAGAACGGUUGAAUUGGCCCGUUUCACUGAAAGAGCUGUCAAUGCUGGAAAGUGAAAUCCUAGCUGGGAAAAUGUACAUCCAGCAGGCCAUGGAACUCCAGGAGGCUGCCAAGAAGAAUUAUGCAAACAAGGCCCCGGGAGAGCAACAGAAAUUGCAAGGAAAUCCAACAAAGAAAACCAAAUCAAAAAGACCAGAUCCCCUCAAAGGACAGAAGGUUAUUGCAAGAUGUGAUGAAAAUGGCUUUUAUUUUCCAGGAGUUGUGAAGAAGUGUGUGAGCCGCACCCAAGCACUGGUGGGCUUCAGUUACGGAGACACCAAGGUCGUGUCCACCUCCUUCAUCACGCCUGUGGGGGGCGCCAUGCCCUGCCCGCUGCUCCAGGUUGGAGAUUAUGUGUUUGCCAAAAUUGUGAUACCCAAAGGAUUUGACUUCUAUGUCCCUGCCAUUGUCAUAGCACUUCCCAAUAAGCAUGUGGCCACAGAAAAAUUCUACACAGUUUUGAAGUGUAACAACCGGAGAGAAUUUUGCCCUCGGAGUGCACUUAUUAAGAUCAGCCAAAACAAGUAUGCGCUCUCUUGCUCUCAUAUAAAGUCACCCCCAAUUCCUGAGGAUCCAGAAGUAGAGGAUGUGGAGGCGAGGAAUUCUGCUUUCCUCUUCUGGCCACUGAAAGAAGCGGACACGCAGGAUUCCAGAGAGCCAAGACGAGAGAAGCCCAGGAGGAAAAAGAGGCCCGCCAAGCAGCCACUCCUGCAGGCGGCGCCCUCGGACUCGGACGGCUCCUCCCACGGCACCAGCUCCCAUGGCCCACCUCCACUUCCCCGCGGCCGGGCGUCUAGGACUCAGCAGCCACGCCAUCAUUGCCGCACCUCCACCUCGAGCAGCCCUGCCCUGUACUCUCCAAGCCACCCACAGCAGCAAAGGGCUGAGGAGCGUCCCUGAGACACUUUAAGGCCGUCUGGUGGCAGCUAUGUUUAAGAGACCAGCGUCCUUCCAGGCUGCUCAGACCUCAGCGUUGACACUGAAACUGGCCCCUCCGCGGAGUCUGUUGUAGGUAACUCUAAUUGAGCCCGAAACCAGAAUAAAAACUCUUACAUUGGAAACAUUUC